rnacentral:rRNA from 1 species
GACGAACGCUGGCGGCGUGCUUAACACAUGCAAGUCGAACGGAAAGGCCCUGCUUUUGUGGGGUGCUCGAGUGGCGAACGGGUGAGUAACACGUGAGUAACCUGCCCUUGACUUUGGGAUAACUUCAGGAAACUGGGGCUAAUACCGGAUAGGAGAUCCUGCUGCAUGGUGGGGGUUGGAAAGUUUCGGCGGGUGGGGAUGGACUCGCGGCUUAUCAGCUUGUUGGUGGGGUAGUGGCUUACCAAGGCUUUGACGGGUAGCCGGCCUGGGAGGGUGACCGGCCACAUUGGGACUAAGAUACGGCCCAGACUCCUACGGGGGGCAGCAGUGGGGAAUAUUGCACAAUGGGCGGAAGCCUGAUGCAGCAACGCCGCGUGCGGGAUGACGGCCUUCGGGUUGUAAACCGCUUUCGCCUGUGACGAAGCGUGAGUGACGGUAAUGGGUAAAGAAGCACCGGCUAACUACGUG